UCGGCACUAGUUUAGUGAAGGUUCUUGUGUUUUCAGUAAGAGAAAACUGGUUCUCCCGUUACCUUAAACAAUGGGGAAGGAUGAUUCGGAAACAGCAGCUUUGAAGAAAGAACUGGAGGAUCUGAUUAACAAAUGCAAGGAAGACCAGAAGAAACAACAAGAUGCAACAUUAGAAGAGACAUGCAGCGGCCUGGCUGAUGCUCCAAAAGUUAAAUUAUCCACCAAAAAAUUACUAAAAGGGCACAUUAACAAAGUGAACUCGGUACAUUUCAGCGGGGACAGCAGGCACUGUGUUACUGGAUCCUUGGAUGGUAAACUGAUAAUUUGGGAUUCAUGGACUGGUAAUAAAGUACAAGUAAUUCCCCUGCGAUCAGCUUGGGUGAUGUCGGUGGCUUUUGCCCCAUCUGGAAAUUUCGUUGCUUGUGGAGGAAUGGACAAUAUGUGUACCAUAUAUGACGUUAAUAAUCGAGAUUCAACGGGAUCAGCAAAAAUUGUCCGAGAGUUGCUGGGUUACGAAGGUUUCUUGUCCUCCUGCAGAUUUCUUGAAGACAAGAGGAUCAUCACGGGAUCGGGUGAUAUGAAAAUAUGCAUUUGGGAUUUGGAAGCCAACAAAAAAACGACCGAUUUUUGUGGUCAUGCUGGUGAUGUAGUCAGCAUCAGUUUGUCACCUGAUGGAAACACUUAUCUUACUGGUUCGGUUGACAAAACGUGUAAAAUCUGGGAUUUAAGGGAGGAAAAAGCGAAGCAAACUUUCUUUGGACACGAGGCCGAUGUUAACUCCGUUUGCUUUCAUCCUUCAGGCCAAGCGUUUGUAACAGCAUCGGAAGACAAAACGGCUCGAAUCUGGGAUUUAAGAUCUGAUCAACAAUUAGCAACUUUUAAGCCACCAAACUCGCAGCCUGGCUUUACAUCUUGUGGUCUUUCCUUUAGCGGUAGAUUCAUAUUUUGCGGAAGCGAUGAUAAUUCAAUUCAUAUAUGGGAUACGCUGAAAGUUCAACACAAUGGUGUUUUAUCGGGACACGAAAACAGAGUGACAUCGCUAAGUGUAGCAGGAAAUGGAAUGGCAGUAGCUAGCUGCUCCUGGGAUCAAAAUGUUAGAAUCUGGGUCUAGAGAAGAAUAUUAUUGUACCAAUUAAUUGACCCAUCUUGAGCAACAACCGAAAUAUGAAAUGUAAAAAACUAACAAUUUAUAUUCUACGAAACCUGUUACUGCGUAUUAUUAUGUAAUUCCCAAUUGUUGACUGAAAAUAUUAAGUUCCACUGCAUUGUAGUUAGAUUAAGAUAUGAUGGAAUCAGA